AUUCAGCUGACGAGUCCCAAAUAGGACAAAACGCACGUCUUGGAU
rnacentral:hammerhead_ribozyme from 1 species